GAUCCUUCCCUUGCAGAGUUUUUCUCUAGACCUUAGAUCUUCAGAGACAGUGACGCUAGCCUUCACUGAUCAAAAAUGGCAGUACUGUUCCAAAAGGAAGACACGUCACCUUCUCUCAUCGUAUCACUGACAAUGCUGGCAGAAUGGGCAAUGGCUGAAAUAAGAGGAGUACAUCCUGAAAAUUCCAAGGGAGAAGACCCACGUUUCAUUUUAACAUGAUGGAAAAGAUCUUGCAAGCUGAAAUUGGAAAAAUCUGCACCUCUGGAAGUGAUUCACUGUUUCACAACUGCUGACCACCUUGUUGCUGUGAAAAUGUUGCCUGUGAAGUCCAUAUUGCAUUGGCUCGAACAGAUGGAAGCGGGAAUGCGCUAAAUCUGGGCUAUACAGUGGAUGUGGUCUGAUAUUCCAGCCAAGACUGACAAUGUGCUCCACAGUCCUCAAACUGGCACGGAGUCUGGUGUUACCAUGUUGCAAAAGAAAAGCUGUCUUCUU